CACACUGGACCCUGGGUCAAGGUCCAAGUAUGCUCAAUCAAAGGCACAAACUGUGCCACGUGUCCUAGUAGAAAGGAAAAGAAGCUGAUCGAAAGCAGCAAAAGACUCAUGUGAGUCUCAUCUCCAUUCCCUCUUUCUCUCAUCUCAAGCCAUAUUCUCCCUUCUCUUUCCACCAUGUAAACACAAUCCAACAUUCUUUUUCUUUCAUUUUUGGAUCUACAUGGGGGUUCAGUGAUGAACACCACAUGAACACCAUGAUCCAAUUUCCAGAUUUUCCUAGAACUCAACCAUUUCAAAAAUUGCAAACACAAACCUUACUUAAAUUUCUCCCUCAUCAUGAAUACAUCAAUCAAACAUUCAAAAUAUGAACCCUAAGCCCAAAUCAGACUUGCCUAAAACAUACCCUAAACCUCAAAUUUCUCAUUAUUUAGUGCAAUUACAUAGGGAUUAUAUCAAGGGGAGUAACGAGAAUGAUAAAGCAAUAUGUAAAGGCGUGGAAAACGAAGAAAAAAUUAAUAAUAGAGCCUCUCCGGAGUCUGAAACUCUGAUGAGUUGCUACCUCGGGUAAAUCUCUUCGUGAUCGUGUGAGCAGGGUGCUGCAAAGCGUGAGGAGUGAAGAAUUGCGUGACCUUAGGGUGUGAGUUGUAUGGAUGUAUGAUGGAAGAUGGUGAUGGCUAUGUCAAGGGAUGAUGAAUGAUGAAUGUCAUGUGGUGGAUGUGUUGAUGAUGAUGCAAUGUUGUGGAUGUUCUCAUACUUUCCUUGUAGCAAGCAACUUAUUUCUUUUCUUUUUUCACUUCAAAUUACUUGUAUGAAUGAUGAAGAAUGAAUGCCAUGUAAUAUGGAUGUUGUAAUGUCGAUGUUGUUUUGUAACAUGCUUUUUGUAAUAAAAUUCAAUUACAUUUCCUUA